AUGAAGAAGCUUAAACGGCGUUUGUCAGCAGCAUUCCGUCCUGGAAGUAACAAUAAUGUGAGCAUUACCAGUUCUGGAGGAUCUUAUUAUGAUUCGGAUUGUGAAGGACGUAAUAAUAUUGUAAUCGGUUACGGUAUGAUGUCAGCACCACUUCAUGGAAGAACUUGGACACUUUCCGAAUCAAUGAGCCAUUUAUCAGACAAAAAUGGUGCAAUUUUAGAAGAAUGUGCAGUUGUUGAUCCAACAGCAUUGCUUAGAGUUUCACGAGGAGGUACUGCUGGUAGACGAUAUGAUACAAAUGUUAAUUAUAUCAACGGAAUGCAUGUCCCACCACCACGAACACACAGUCUCUACUAUCCACGUGGCUACAAUUCUCGUCGAAACUCAUAUUACGGAUCCAAUGCUUUUGUCCGCCAAGUGCAUGACCGCGUACUCUCCGGCGGAUUCGAACGCCGAGGCGCGUCUUCUGUCAGGAGGUUCGGACCCGAUCUCGGAUACUGAAAACCUAUUAGAUCUUGCAUAUGAAGUUGGAACGUCAUCAUCUGAUAAUACUCGAUACGAUAGAGAAAGUGAAAAUGAUGAAGAGGAAAUUGGUGUUGGAUGGGAAGAUACAACAUCUUCGAGUUUAAAUAAAAGAAUGUGCAAAUCAGCGACAUUUCAUGAUUUUUGUGAUGAUUCUGAAUAUUCGAGACGUCCGGUCACGACUUUACACGAAGAAGAUUUUGAUGAAGAAGAAGAGGACGAAUUUGAAGAUGCAAGUGAUCGAAGAAAUCUAGACGAGGAUGAUGUAGAAUAUGAGGAUGAAGAUGAUGAAGAUGAUAUUGUUGUAGAAGAAGAAGAAAUAACACCUGAAGAUAUUGAACAUUCUCCAACAGGAGUUACAACUCAAACAACUCCUCCAUCUAAUAAUACAAGUAAAUCAAAAAAGAAAAAGAAACGAAAAUCAGAUGAAGAAGAUGGGCUUCGAAAAAUGAAGAAAAGCAGUACAUUUGCUUCUUUUCUAAACAUGUUCGUGUCCAGAAGACGUUCCGGAAGGGAUUCUGGUGAGAGACUCAUGUCUCGUAGCACGUGCAUGUUAAGGCCAAGCAUUUCAUUGUCGGUUGUCCAAGAAUCGAUGAUUUUGGGAUCAGAUGGAGAGAGUGUUGAAGUUUCUCCGUGUACUUCUGAUCAAACGCCAACAGGUGUUCCUCCUAGAUACAUUGUGAACGUGAAAAUGCGACAGAAGACAGCUAGAAAGUGGAGUGAGGAGGAAAUCCAAAAGCGACUGUCACUUCCUGCAGAUUUGCGUCUUCCGGUUGCAGUUGUCGACAAGCUUAACAGAACACCAACAUUGGAUCAACCACUGACACGAAAGAAUCGAAGAGCAUCACUCAGUGAAAUUGGCUUUGGAAAAUUAGAGACUUAUGAGAAAUUGGAUAAACUCGGUGAAGGGACGUAUGCUACCGUAUUCCGAGGAAGAUCCAUUUUGACGAACAAGUUUGUGGCACUAAAAGAAAUACGUUUGGAACAAGAGGAGGGAGCACCAUGCACAGCGAUUCGCGAAGUUUCGUUAUUAAGGAAUCUUCGACACGCGAAUGUUGUUACUUUACAUGAUAUCAUUCAUACGGAUCGGUUAUUAACAUUGGUAUUCGAGUACGUGGAUCGUGAUCUGAAGCAAUAUAUGGAUUCAUGUAACAAUGCAAUGCAAAUGAAUAAUAUUCGACUCUUCCUUUACCAACUUCUUCGAGGACUCGCCUACUGUCAUCAACGAAGAGUUCUUCAUAGAGAUUUGAAACCUCAAAACUUGUUGAUUACUGCAAAAGGAGAGCUUAAACUUGCGGAUUUCGGACUGGCACGUGCCAAGUCCGUACCGACAAAGACGUAUUCAAAUGAGGUUGUCACAUUAUGGUAUAGGCCACCAGAUGUUCUUCUUGGUUCCACUGAUUAUUCGACACAUAUUGAUAUGUGGGGUGUUGGGUGUAUAUUGUUUGAGAUGAUUGCUGGAAGAGCUCUUUUCCCAGGUGGUACACCAACAGAGCAACUUGGACUCAUUUUUAGAACACUUGGAUCUCCUCGACCGGAUCGACAUCCGACAAUAUGCGAAAAGCCAACAUUCUAUCCAUACGCUAACAGACAUUACAAUCCAGAUCCACUUUGCCGUCAAAUUCCACGGAUUGAUGCUCACGGAUUCGAAUUGCUCAUGAAAUUCUUACAGUACGAAGGAAAAGAUCGAGUGUCGGCUGCUGAAGCUGUGAAGCAUCCGUUCUUGAGGACGAUCGCUGUGAAGUGUUGCCACCUGCGAGAUGAGCAAUCUGUCCUAGAAGCUGAUGGUAUUCACAUUGAAAGGGAACUUCUGGCAUCAGAUCAUCAUCACAGCUCUCGUCGUCAUCAUCGUGGAACUCUUGUAAAAGAUAAAUAUCGAAUGCAUUCGAGUCAUCACACUUAG
rnacentral:misc_RNA from 1 species